GGGGGAGAGGGGAGAAGAGAUUGACAUCCAUCACACACACAAUGCACCCCUUACACACAAAGACAAUGCACCCCUUGCACACAGAAAAACACACAGUGCAUUACACACACACACAGACACACACAAACACAAGCAAUGCAACCCUUACACACAAUGCAUCCCUUACACACAGAAACACACAAUGCACCCCUUACACACACUCAAUGCACCCCUUACAGACGCACACACUGCAUCCCAUACAUACACAGAAACACACCUUGCAGCCCUUACACAUACAAACACAGAUGCACACAAUGCAUUCCUUACACACAUAUCAGGACAUCCCCCUACUCCACCCCCUGUGAACAAGCUCAUUGGUGGAACAUGAAGGUGGACCCUGGGACCCAGACCUUGAGCUGUGUAAAGGGCCUUAAAAAAUGGAGCUGCUUCCCGUUAUCCCAGAACAUUCAUUUUUGUGACCACAGUUACAAACAGCCUCCAGAGAGCCUGUUCUACACCAGACCAGUGGAGCCAGACUGCAGCUAGAGCCCAUCAGCAUCCUCAUCUGGUUGUAAGUAGGCAAUCUAGUAUAUUAUUCGUGGCACUUCAGCUUAAUGUAGUGGUUCUGGUGUCCAUAGCCUGUCCCUGCAUGCCUUUUAAUGUAAACAAGGCAGCACUGCAAUACUGGCGUUAGUUAACAUGGCAGAUCAUAUGGGUGGGGCAUUGUGAUGUCACAUGGGGGGGUGGCAAACUUUACUUUUGC